AGAUUCAUUAGAUGCAGACUUCUUUUUUCAGCCGUUGGAUCUCAUCCAACGGCUGGGAUUUUAAAAUUGAACUCGCGGGUCAAAUGGGGGCAUGGGUCGGGUAAAAUUGGUAUCGGGUCAACCGGUUCCCACACGCGGAUCCUUUUUUCUUUUCCAGCUUCCGGUGGAAGCUUUGCUUUUGCUUCAAACGGAGAGAGAGAUUGAGGGCGAUUUUGAACGACGACCGACGAAACGAAGAACAAAUCGACUGCAAAAACCAUGAAGUUAACACGAACAGAUCGAUCGAAUAAGAAGAACGACUGGAGGGUACUGCGCGAAGACGAUCGAGUGAGAACAAGGAGUUAGAUCGAUGUAGAGAGGAACUUGAAGCUUUGUUAUUAGUUGAAGAAAGAGCCUGAGACAGCGAUGAAGGGUUUUACCCGUAGACCAUCACACUUCCGAGCUUGAACUAGAAGACGACAAAAUUGAGUUUUUCACAAUCGUAGAGAAAUUUUUUUUUUUUUGGGUAUAUGUUUGGUGUUUCUUCUGAUCGAGUGUUGUUUUGGUACAUCUAAGUUUAAUUCUUUCGUUGUAUGCAUGAACCUUAUGAGUUGUGACUGCACCGGAAAUGUGACUAGAAAUUUUGUAUCUAUUUGAGCUUAUUGAAACUUGAACU